rnacentral:rRNA from 1 species
UACGGAGGGAGCAAGCGUUACUCGGAAUUACUGGGCGUAAAGGGCGCGUAGGCGGUUCGAUAAGUCAGCUGUGAAAACCAUGGGCUUAACUCAUGGCCUGCAGUUGAGACUGUCGGGCUGGAGUGUGGGAGAGGAGAGUGGAAUUCCUGGUGUAGCGGUGAAAUGCGUAGAUAUCAGGAGGAACACCGGUGGCGAAGGCGGCUCUCUGGACCACAACUGACGCUGAGGCGCGAAAGCUAGGGGAGCAAACAGG